GUUUGGUGCCAUUAUUAGAGAUAAUGGUAGCUUUAUUUGGUGGGAUGAAUCAUCAUGAACUAGCAUUCAUGUUUCUUCAUUAUCUCUCUCAUUUCUAAACGAAAUUUCGAGAUUCCAAAUCCUCUGAACUCCUAGAACAUUUCUAAGUGUGGACUAAUUAGAGGCAUCACAAUUGGGGUGCUUUAAGGAUCUCAGAUCGUGGCAAAACAGAAGCUGUUCGUGCAGAGCUCUAUUUUCUGGACAGUGUUCGUAGCUUGCUGUUUUCAGUCGUUUUCUCCUACCUCACGAAGUCGUUUUCGAAACUGCAAGUGAGGUAAUUAAACUUCAAUCUUUCUUCUUGAUUUUCGUUUUUGAAUGAAGCCGAUCCGAGGUUUCUAGAGCUUCCGCCGUCCGUUUUAAUUUUACUGC
rnacentral:lncRNA from 1 species